rnacentral:lncRNA from 1 species
GGCGAGCUCCUCCUGCAGCAGCUGUACCUCCUCACAGGACCAGCCACAAAGUGGGUGCCAGAAGGAGAUCUGCUUGGGGGAGGGGACUGCAGGGGAUUUAGUAACCUUGGGUCUGGGGCCAGGCUGUGUGUCCUUGGCCAAGUCACUUCCCCUCCCUGGACCUGGACCCUCACUCUGAAAUCAAGAGACUGGACUGGUGAUUCCAAAAGGAGAGAAAGGAGACAUUCGGGCGUUCUAAGGCCUUAUUGAAGUGUUGGGAUCCCCCUUACCAAGUUACUGAGGCCUGGUUCAGGCCCAGAGAUUUGGGGGCUGGAGUCCGCUGUUGAGCCACAAGGACUUGAGCCUUGUCAGGGCCUCGUCCUCACUCCCUUCAUUCUCUGCUCAGCUUUGAAUCCUCAGCCUUGGAACUCCUCAGUGACUGAAACAGGGGGACCUAAACUAAAAAGCCUGGACUUACCUAGGGGCAGCAAGUUGGAGUCUGGGGUCCCUGACCUCCCUUCUCCCUUCUUGCUAGUUGCUCAGCCUCCAGAGGCUCCCUGCCCGAGUGUAUUUCCAUUCCCACCCUGUUUAAAUCUGCCUGACUCCAUCCCUCCCAUCCCCGGGAGACUCCCAACAGAUGGAAAUAAAGCUGGCGGUCUGGCUGGAGUGGCAGGGGAAUCACCUCUCCUCCUGUAGCACCCCCGCCCCACAGCCCUCACUGGUCUAGCCCCAGUCUACCUAAGACACAUUGCUGAAGGAACAGUAUUAUGUUUGAUAUUGAUAAUCAAAAGCCGAGUUACUUAUAAUGUCUUGGAGCCCUUAAUUUCCCCCAUUAACAUUUACCAAGGGCCUACGAUGUACCAUGAUUCUAACCAUCUUACCUGUCCUGACUCAUUUCAUCUCUAACAGCCCUACCUAUUAUUAGCCCAUUUCCCAGGGAACAUGCAUAUGGCUAGUAAGGGGCAGAACUGGGAUUUGAACCCGGAUUGUCUGGUGCUAGGACCCAUACUUUUCUUUUUUAGUUGUACAUGGACACAAUACCUUGAUUUUAUUUCUUUAUUUUUAUGUGGUGCUGAGGAUCGAGCCCAGUGCCUCACACGUGCUAGGCGAGCACUUUACCACUGAGCUACAGCCCCAGCCCUAGAACUCAUACUCUUGCCACAUCAUGCUGGAUGCUGGGAAAGCCAACACCUGUGCUUAGGGAAGUGCUUUCUGAAACCUGGGCAGUGCUGUGCUCACCAGGACUGCUUCUCACCUGGGUCUCUGUGCACAAAUUGGCCCUGCAGCUGGCCCCAGUCACCCUCUGUCCAUCACUGGUUUUCCAUUUCCAGCAGGAGCAGAGGAGGAAAACGAAAACAACAGGCCAGGCAGAGAGAAAGCCUAAGCCAGCUGGGUUUUUUGCUGGGGCUGAUCCAGGCUACUUCCCCUCCUGCCCCAGCUCAGAUGGUGAAAGGAACAGGAAUGAGGAUUCGCUGGGGGUUUCGCUUGCCUUCUGAGUUCUUUCAUCACCCAGGGAUCAGAGUUGGCCAGCUCCUGCCCCUACCUCCCUCAUUGUCCCCCGGGCUCCAAAUGAGCCUGUCUUAUUUCCUACUCUGCUCUGAGGGCCUCCUGGUCUGCCUCCCUGGGCAACCAUUCUUCUUAACUGGAAAGACAUGGAGCAGUGCCCCUUUUUAGUCCCCUGCCCCUGGGCCCUUCCUGAGAGUUCUGUUAUACAGUUUGCCCUGAAGCCCUCAGCACGGAGGAGAAGGCACAGGUGAACAGUUUUCAAAGGCUGUAGCUCCAGAAAAACCACAGCACACAGUAGGGACUGAGUAAGUAUUAGUGGAAGGAAUUGUGAACUGGGAGAAAAGAGAGUGAGGUGAAAGAGGUCAUUGGCCAUAAACAGAUGCAAAACAGGCCCACAGCUCAGCAACUCCCCAGACAGGCUCACCUUUGCUGGGACUGGGCCUGGGUGCUUCUGGGGUUCCAAAGGUGGGCCUCCUUUCCAUCCUUUGUCUCUUGGCCACCACCACUGGGGCGGGCCUGGAGAAGAUAGGCAAUUAUAUAUUUCGCAUAGUUGUUGGACUGCCUUGAAUAGGCAAGCUGGCCUUGUGCCCUCUCUCCCUGAGGAUUCACAGAUCAGAGGGCUGCGUCUGUCCUGUCCCCUGCUGCAGAGCCCUGCAACAGAAAAAUUCUGAGCAAUCGAAGUCUCUCUCGCAGUCCUCAGAUAGACCCAGCAGAAGGCCUCCCUUGGGAGAACAGGCCCCUGUUUAACCACGCUGAGAUCCAGGCGAAUCUCUCUGGUGGUAUUUGUCCCAUUUUUUUUUUAAAGUAGAAAUGGAGUUUGACUGCUAAACCCUGCUUCUUUCUAAAUGCAAAGACUAUUGAAAAAAAAAAAAUCUCUGUCCCCAUCUGUAGAAGGGGAUGGCACUGAAGUUUAACCUCAGGGGAUCUCUUGUGGCACUGUUAGUCUGGGUCUGCCACUGUCACGUUGAUGCCCCUGUCUUCCUGUCAUACUUGCAAUGACUUUGAGGGUGGGCCAGCCUCUGGUAAACCCUAGAUGCAAGGCACAAGGACCUUUCAGCCCCUGGCCACAGUGUCCCCCAAUACCCUAGAAUGCUGAUAGAUGUCUG